rnacentral:lncRNA from 1 species
CCUAACUCUUAGAGAUGCUGGGAUCAAAGGUCAAUGGUUUUCUUUCCAUGUGCUUGACCGAGCAUGGGCUUCCCUAAGACAAUCCUUAUGGAUAAUUUCCCUUGUGUAUACACAGGAAUUGAAGCUUGUCCUGUUCCUGCUACCUGCAAUUCCUUACCAUCUUUAUACAUCAGUAUCCAGCACUGGCUGCUGCCAGAGAGUUUGCUGAAUGCUAGGAGCACAGCAAAGACAAAAAUUGAUUCAUUUCUUCACCAUCACUACCUCUUGCCAGUAUCAUCUUUAUGCUGUAGUGGGAAGAGCAAUGAACUUGAGGUCAGAAGGCAAUGGCAAGUAAUGAGGCAAGUCAGGAAAAGGAUUUCCCCUCCUUGUGGCAACAUUGUGAUGCAUAGGAAAAUGCACUCAUAAGAGGGAAAUAAAAGCAAUGGACCAAUUCA